CCGAGCCUUUUUUUCAGGCUAAACAUUCUCUCUACAAUUCCCUGAAAGGAUGUUGAAGCCAGUCUUUUAAUUGAUGUCACUUCAAACAACAAAGGAAGCAACAACAACAAGAUGUGGGAGAAAAACUGAAGUGAUCAUCAUGAAGGACCUAUUGCUGAGGACAAAGUCCAAAAUGCAAGUUCUGGUCUGCAAUAUGACAUGGAAAUUUAAAGCUUUCAAGCAGUAUCCACACCAAGCUACCACAAUUCACUGCUUCUAGUGCCAGUACAGGUGGACAACUCUGCCUCCCAGACACAGCAGGAACCAAGAUAUAUCCUAAAGUUCAAGGAUUUACAAGAGUCAUCCUACUGGAUCUCAAGUAAAUAAUGAAGGCUCAUAAAAGACAUCCAAGACAAAGCUCUGCAGAUUCACCUCUUCAUUGGUAUUUUAUAGCAUGUGUUGUGUUGCCAGUGUGAGCACUUUCUUAUUUAAGCAAAAGAAAAUUAUUCAAAGUGUGCCUUUGGUUGGUCCUUCCCAGCAAAAAGGGACAAAAAAAAAAGAGAGAAAAGAUAAUACAAAUACAACUGCAGCUGAAAAACGGAACAAUGUGGUCCUGCUGCUGCUCUAAACUUGAGUUGUGAAUGAGAGAAAUACAGCUGUAAUAAAGAGUAGAUAUAGUCUCCUAAGCCAAACAACCAAACUUCAUUCAAA